GUAAUUCAAAAGUAAAAAACUUAUGAAGAAUCACAUGUCUCAUGAUUAGUGUUAUAAAGAAAAAAGAAAGCAUGCAUACAGGAAUAUCCACAUAAGCAAUUUUGCAAUGCCAAGUGAGUACACCUAUGUGAAACUGAGAAGUGACUGCUCGAGGCCUUCCCUGCAAUGGUACACCCGAGCUCAAAGCAAGAUGAGAAGGCCCAGCUUGUUAUUAAAAGACAUCCUCAAAUGUACAUUGCUUGUGUUUGGAGUGUGGAUCCUUUAUAUCCUCAAGUUAAAUUAUACUACUGAAGAAUGUGACAUGAAAAAAAUGCAUUAUGUGGACCCUGACCGUGUAAAGAGAGCUCAGACAUAUGCUCAGCAAGUCUUGCAGAAGGAAUGUCGUCCCAAGUUUGCCAAGACAUCAAUGGCGCUGUUAUUUGAGCACAGGUAUAGCGUGGACUUACUCCCUUUUGUGCAGAAGGCCCCCAAAGACAGUGAAGCUGAGUCCAAGUACGAUCCUCCUUUUGGGUUCCGGAAGUUCUCCAGUAAAGUCCAGACCCUCUUGGAACUCUUGCCAGAGCACGACCUCCCUGAACACUUGAAAGCCAAGACCUGUCGGCGCUGUGUGGUUAUUGGAAGCGGAGGAAUACUGCACGGAUUAGAACUGGGCCACACCCUGAACCAGUUCGAUGUUGUGAUAAGAGUGUUGAUUUCAACUGGCUUCAAGCAAUGGUAAAAAAUGAAACCCUGCCAUUCUGGGUACGACUCUUCUUUUGGAAGCAGGUGGCAGAAAAAAUCCCACUGCAGCCAAAACAUUUCAGGAUUUUGAAUCCAGUUAUCAUCAAAGAGACUGCCUUUGACAUCCUUCAGUACUCAGAGCCUCAGUCAAGGUUCUGGGGCCGAGAUAAGAACGUCCCCACAAUCGGUGUCAUUGCCGUUGUCUUAGCCACACAUCUGUGCGAUGAAGUCAGUUUGGCGGGUUUUGGAUAUGACCUCAGUCAACCCAGAACACCUUUGCACUACUUCGACAAUCAGUGCAUGGCUGCUAUGAACUUUCAGACCAUGCAUAAUGUGACAACGGAAACCAAGUUCCUCUUAAAGCUGGUCAAAGAGGGAGUGGUGAAAGAUCUCAGCGGAGGCAUUGAUCGUGAAUUCUGAACAUAGAAAACCUCAGUUGAAAAUGCAACUCUAACUCUGAGAGCUGUUUUUGACAGCCUUCUUGAUGUAUUUCUCCAUCCUGCAGAUACUUUGAAGUGCAGCUGAAGUUUUUAACUUUUAAUUUAAAAACACACAAAAAAUUUUAGCUCUUCCCACUUUUUUUUCCCUAUUUAUUUGAGGUCAGUGUUUGUUUUUGCACACCAUUUUGUAUAUGAAACUUAAGAAUUGAAUUGGAAAGACUUCUCAAAGAGAAUUGUAUGUAACGAUGUUGUAUUGAUUUUUAAGAAAGUAAUUUAAUUUGUAAAACUUCUGUUCGUUUACACUGCACAUUGAAUACAGGUAACUAAUUGGAAGGAGAGGGGAGGUCACUCUUUUGAUGGUGGCCCUGAACCUCAUUCUGGUUCCCUGCUGCGCUGCUUGGUGUGACCCACGGAGGAUCCACUCCCAGGAUGACGUGCUCCGUAGCUAUGCUGCUGAUACAGGGUCUGCGAUACAGUGGCGUG
rnacentral:sRNA from 1 species